AACAAAUUGAAAUUGAUCCCAUCAACCAAUGUGGGUUAAUUUAAAAUUACCUAAGGUAUAAUAAGUGGUCGUUGAUCCAGCCAUACUUCGUAUAGCACAUUGCAAGUAAUCGACUUGAAGUAGACCUCUUCUCCAUACGCCAACCGAUGCAAAUGAUAAAAAUGAAAAUAGCAGUUUUUCUUCUUAUGAUGAGUCUUGCCAAUAUUGUUGUAUUAUCAGACAGUAACUGUACAAAGAUUGGUACUUGUGACCCUAAUACUGGUAAAUACUGUUGUCCUGACUUCCAUUGUGAGCGACGUAAAGGAUUUCCAGAUGAAGGAGAUUGUCACUUAAAAUUCCUGUAAAGCUGAACAAUGAAAUAAAAUUGGUUUGCAAGAA